UAAAAAAUCACAUUCAACAUUUUUGUGUUCAUGUCUUCUUUUCUGUUUCUUGAUUACUAGAAUGCCUCAUUCGUGAAACAGUUCGUACCGGUGCUCCCACCUGAUGGACAAAUGCAGGACUUCACUUGAACUGUUCUUUGCAAUCUGGUUUGUGAUGGGGAACGUUUGGAUCUUUGACUCACGAUUAGGAUCCAUCAACCGAGCUCCUAAGCUGAAUGUGCUAUGUGUCUCCCUUCUCACCUGGAAUGCAAUCUGCUAUUCGUUCCCAUUCCUAUUGUUUCUUCUUCUGUGUUGUUGUGUCCCUCUCAUCAGUAGCUUUCUCGGUUACAACAUGAAUAUGGGCUCAGCAGACAAAGCUGCAUCAGAUGAUCAAAUCUCCAGCCUUCCACGUUGGCAGUACAAAGCAGUCGGCACAUCCAAUAUACUGGACGAUGGUGAUGAUCAAGAAUCAAGUUUGACCCCUGCAAGCGAAGUAAGUAAUCCACAAACCAAUAAUGAAUUUGCCGCUGUAACCUGGUGGUUGACAUGUUGGUUGUUUUAAUGGUGAUGAAUAGGAAUGUUGCAUUUGUCUAUCCAAAUACAAAGAAAAAGAGGAAGUAAGAGAGCUACCAUGUUUACAUACAUUCCACCUCAAAUGUGUGGAUCAAUGGCUUAGAAUCAUAUCAUGUUGCCCUCUCUGCAAACAAGAACUGAAGAGAUAGAUUGAAGUUGAAGAUGUGGUUGCUGCCUGGCAUUUGCGUUUCUCUUCUUUGUUUGGUAUUAAUUCCGUAGAGGAGUGGGGAAAUGGGUUAUUAGCGUGAGGAAAGGUAGGUAGGUAGGUAGGUAGGUAGGCUGUUUGCUUCUGUAUAGGAGCUCGCUCAGCAAUAGCCAUUUCUAGCCACAUCACUCAAGGGGAUCUUUCUUCUCCUCUGUCUGUCCUUUUGGUUUUUAUUUGUUUUGGGUUUUGUUAAAAAUCUGAAAGAGAAGAUUUCUUUUCUUUUUCCACAGUACAAAUAAAUCAUGGUGAAAAUUACUUACAUGAAGAUUCGAAACCCUUGCCUUGCUUGUAAAUGCUUAUUAUCCAUUUUUUUAGCUUAUUUCAUUAUAUAUAAAAAGAAUGAUCCAAUUAUAUGGUCUUCAUUUGUUUUCUGUAUCACAAUUUCAAUUCCAG
rnacentral:lncRNA from 1 species